ensembl:miRNA
CAGAAUACUCAGUUAAAUUUGAAUUUCAGAUAAAAUAUGAAUAAUUUUUAGUAUAAGUAUCUCCCAUGAUAUUUUUGGGACAUACUUUUACUAAAUUUAUUCAUGGCUUAUCUGAAAUUUAAAUUCAGCAGAAUGUCCUGCA